GUGGGGAAUUUUGGACAAUGGGCGAAAGCCUGAUCCAGCAAUGCCGCGUGCAGGAAGAAGGCCUUCGGGUUGUAAACUGCUUUUGUACGGAACGAAACGGUCCUGGCUAAUAUCCGGGGCUAAUGACGGUACCGUAAGAAUAAGCACCGGCUAACUACGUGCCAGCAGCCGCGGUAAUACGUAGGGUGCGAGCGUUAAUCGGAAUUACUGGGCGUAAAGCGUGCGCAGGCGGUGCUGUAAGACAGGCGUGAAAUCCCCGGGCUCAACCUGGGAAUUGCGCUUGUGACUGCAGUGCUGGAGUGCGGCAGAGGGGGAUGGAAUUCCGCGUGUAGCAGUGAAAUGCGUAGAUAUGCGGAGGAACACCGAUGGCGAAGGCAAUCCCCUGGGCCUGCACUGACGCUCAUGCACGAAAGCGUGGGGAGCAAACAGGAUUAGAUACCCCUGUAGUCC
rnacentral:rRNA from 1 species